CGUUGCGUGUACCAGUCAUCAUCGUCCGGCUCUGUUUACAACUGUAAAAUUGAAAGUAAACAAACCGAAGAAGUGUGCAAAGAGAAAAAGGAAAACUGCUACAUCAUUGCCGUCGUGUUUGUUGCCGUUGCCUCGAGUGUGCUGCUGUUUCCUGGGCUGGAAAAUUGAACCGUGUUUCCCAGGGCGGGACAAAAAGCCAUCGGUAACCGUUCUGUACGAAGUGCCGUUGUAGUUCAUCCGGAAAACCCGUCGGAAGAAGCAGCACUAAGCCCGGAGGAAGCAAGUGAGCAACAUCCGUCGAUUAGAUCUGCCGAACGUUUUUGGAUCGGAGAGCCGACAUCCAGUGGAAAACGGUUUGUUGCCUCAAGCCAAACCGUUCAGAUAGCCACAGUGCAAAUAGUGGUUGGGAGGUGAUACAAAGCAGCCGGAUGAGCAUAAUGUCAAGCGCGCUCAGACCCC